rnacentral:tRNA from 1 species
CACUAAGAAGCUAAUCAGAGCAUUAACCUUUUAAGUUAAAGACUGGGAGUCUAACCUCCCCUUAGUGA